rnacentral:rRNA from 1 species
GACGAACGCUGGCGGCGUGCUUAACACAUGCAAGUCGAACGGAAAGGCCCUGCUUGCAUGGUAUUCCAGUGGCGAACGGGUGAGUGACACGUGAGUGAUCCGCCCUGUACUUCUUGGUAAGCUUUGAAGACUGGGUCCAAAACCGGAUACGAGACAUCUUUAGCGUGGGGGUGGGAAAGAUUUUUCGGGGUUGGGUGAGUUGGCGGCCUAGUAGCGUGUUGGUGGGGUGAUGGCCUACCAAGGCGGCGACGGGUAGCUGGCCUGUGAGGGUGUACGGCCACAUUGGGACUGAGAUGAGGCCCAGGCGGCUAAGGGAGGAAGCAGGGGGGAAUAUUGCACCAGGGGUGCAAGCCGGAUGCAGCGAGGCCGCGGGGGGGAUGGAGGUCUUGGGGUUGUAAAAUCCCUUCGGUAGGGAAGAAGCUUUUUGUGACGGUACCUAGAGAAGAAGCACCGGCUAACUACGUG